UAAUAAGUGUUUUAUGGCACUUUUUAAAUCCAUAUCCACCUUGUGCGCAAUGUCAGUCGAUCUUCUUCAUGGAGAUCGACCAAACAUCAACCUUUAUCUUCUAACUCUUUGUCUGAAAAAUAUUAUGAAUAAACAAUUCAAAAUA
rnacentral:misc_RNA from 1 species